CUACCCUUGACAUGCUAGGAAUUCUGCAGAGAUGUGGAAGUGCUCGAAAGAGAACCUAGACACAGGUGCUGCAUGGCCGUCGUCAGCUCGUGUCGUGAGAUGUUGGGUUAAGUCCCGCAACGAGCGCAACCCUUGUCAUUAGUUGCUACAUUUAGUUGGGCACUCUAAUGAGACUGCCGGUGACAAACCGGAGGAAGGUGGGGAUGACGUCAAGUCCUCAUGGCCCUUAUAGGUGGGGCUACACACGUCAUACAAUGGCUGGUACAGAGGGUUGCCAACCCGCGAGGGGGAGCCAAUCCCAUAAAGCCAGUCGUAGUCCGGAUCGCAGUCUGCAACUCGACUGCGUGAAGUCGGAAUCGCUAGUAAUCGCGGAUCAGAAUGUCGCGGUGAAUA
rnacentral:rRNA from 1 species